rnacentral:rRNA from 1 species
GACGUAGGAUGCAAGCGUUGUUCGGAUUUAUUGGGCGUAAAGCGAGCGUAGGUGGCUAGUUAAGUCUGGUGUUAAAGCUAGGGGCUCAACCCCUGUGUUGCACUGGAAACUGGCUGGCUUGAGGAUGGUAGGGGAAGGUGGAAUUCCGAGUGUAGCGGUGAAAUGCGUAGAUAUUCGGAGGAACACCGGUGGCGAAAGCGGCUCACUGGACCACAACUGACGCUGAUGCGCGAAAGCUAGGGGAGCAAACAGG